rnacentral:rRNA from 1 species
AUACGGAGGAUGCAAGCGUUAUCCGGAUUUAUUGGGUUUAAAGGGAGCGUAGGUGGGAUAUUAAGUCAGCUGUGAAAGUUUGGGGCUCAACCUUAAAAUUGCAGUUGAUACUGGUUUCCUUGAGUACGGUAUAGGUGGGCGGAAUUCGUGGUGUAGCGGUGAAAUGCUUAGAUAUCACGAAGAACUCCGAUCGCGAAGGCAGCUCACCGGGCCGGAACUGACACUGAUGCUCGAAAGUGCGGGUAUCAAACAGGAUUAGAUACCCUGGUAGUCCGCACAGUAAACGAUGAAUACUCGCUGUUUGCGAUACACUGUAAGCGGCCAAGCGAAAGCGUUAAGUAUUCCACCUGGGGAGUACGCCGACAACGGUGAAACUCAAAUGAAUUGGCGGGG